rnacentral:sRNA from 1 species
GAAAGUGUUGUAAGACUUGUGUUUCUGCAGAGAAAUUCUGUAAAUCUAUGUGUGAUAUGCCUCUUCUGAGAUACAUCAUGUGCGGGUGAGUGUUUAUUUUUGUGGGGGUGGUGGCUGAGAAGAAUAUGACCAAUCACAAAAGUCAUCUUUGUUGUUUGAUAAAACAAUUGAAUGCAUCUCAUCUGAUGAUGCUGUUCACUCAGAGCAGAGCAGAGGUGAAUGCUCUAUAAUCUCAGCAUCAGACAGCAGCUGAGUCUGCAGAGAUGUAGGUUUUGAAGACUGUGGUUGUAUCUGAUUCUUUCAGAGCAGAGAUGUUAGAGGAAGAGAAGAAUGUGAAGAAGAGAAUUUUGAAAAUGAUAAGCUUCAGAGACUCUGUGAUGAAGAAAUUGAUUGAGAAGAGAUUGAUGAGAA